rnacentral:rRNA from 1 species
UGGGGAAUCUUGGACAAUGGGGGCAACCCUGAUCCAGCCAUGCCGCGUGAGUGAUGAAGGCCUUAGGGUCGUAAAGCUCUUUCGCCUGUGAAGAUAAUGACGGUAGCAGGUAAAGAAACCCCGGCUAACUCCGUGCCAGCAGCCGCGGUAAUACGGAGGGGACUAGCGUUGUUCGGAAUUACUGGGCGUAAAGAGUUCGUAGGCGGACUAGCAAGUUAGAGGUGAAAUCCCAGGGCUCAACCUUGGAACUGCCUUUAAAAGCUGCUAGUCUAGAGACCGGAAGAGGUUAGGGGAAUACCUAGUGUAGAGGUGAAAUUCGUAGAUAUUAGGUGGAACACCAGUGGCGAAGGCGCCUAACUGGUCCGGUACUGACGCUGAGGAACGAAAGCGUGGGGAGCAAACAGGAUUAGAUA